rnacentral:lncRNA from 1 species
GAAAGUUUUUGGACUUACUCGCCGAAGUCCGUCGAGGUCCCGCCAAAGUUCGAACCAGAGGGUCACAUUUGAAAAAUGCCCAGGGCCAUGCCGUUGGGUGUUUGUGUCUUGGGCAUGGGCCUUGGAUGUGGUUGGAUUUGAGCCCAAAAUUUGCAUUAAAACUUGGUUAUAUUUUUGGUAUGGCACUAGAGAUUGACCUUUGUUUUCGUUGGAGUGGACCCAAUUGCAGGGCUUCGGGCAACGCUUGGAGCAGGGCUUCGGAUAUAGACCCUUAGGCAUACAAAUGAGCGGGCCAAGCAUCAUUAGGACUCGGCCCAAGUAGGCUCUACUUGGGCGGGUCACGGACGUUUUAUUUAUGAAAAAACACUUCUAGAAGAGUCCUUAUAAAAUUCUUGGUCCUUUUUGAUAAUAUCUUGUAACUUUUGGUUCAAAUCACAUCUCUAUUUUAGGUUGUUGAAUAUCUGUUAUAUAUUGGCAAACUCCAUCCAUUUUUUUUCAAAUUUUUAAUAUUUAAUUAAUUACAAUCACACAUGUCACAUCACCAUUGGUGCAAUCUUUAUUUUCGAACUUUUCCAAACCCA